UGAGUUUGGUUCCCCAGGCAACUGGCCGGGCAGCUGCGCCGGGAACUAUUUGUGUCAGUCCCGGAGGGGCCGCGGAAGGCGUGGCAGAGGCAGUGCGCGCCCAGCCUGGGGCAGGCGGGGACCGCGACACAGAGGCGCUUUCAGGUCCUACCCGGGCUCGCGAGCCCCGCUCCCCUCGCCGGGGCCGCCCGGCUUUGUGCUGUUUAUACCCUGUCCUGCGGAAACCCGAAGACAGCGCUGUUCCGGGCGGCCCAGGCCCGGCGCCACCCUCGCUGGCACACAGUGGGCACGCGGCCCGGCGCUCCCGGGGACCGAGCCCCGGCUGGACUCUGCGGUGGGGCCCUCGGUCGUGGGCUGCUGGUGACUCCAGGACCUCGGGCCCCAGUGCAGGGACACAGGGAGGGCCCCUCCCUACAGAAAGGAGGGAAGGGCGGUGCAGGACGCAGCCAUGCCCACAAAAGGUGGCCUGCGAGACAGUGACAGAGGCGGGGACAUCAGGCAGGAGCAGGAUAAGGUUCAAGCCUGCAAUGGAAGGAGUACGUUUGCAGGUUCGCUGACUCCCGUCACGGAAACAGUGUUCAGGUUUGUUAGAGAUGGAGAUGCAGGAUGCGCUGAAGAGCAGAGCGCAGACUGAGCAGUGAAGCAGUUUUUAUUUCUUCUGUCCUACAUCAUUACCACCAAAAACUAGAAGAAGAAGGAGGGGCAGGGGGUUAAGAAAGGAGGGGAAAUGAAGUCCUCAUCCAGCCAGUGUCCCUGUGGCAUCCUCUACAAAGUACUACUAAUGACAGAGGUGGGAGCUUCGAGGGCAAAUGAGACAGCAUGGAAGAACCACUUACUCAGGAGAGGCAGUACUGAUACCCUGAGAAACCAGUCAGGAAACUGAGGCAGGAGAAGUUAAGGCAGAGGUUCAACUGGACACCACCCAGGCAGCUUGGCUCCGGAACCUGCUCUGAGCCUGCGCCAUCACAGAACGGGUCCAUCAGUGACCACAGUCGGGGGAGACCAGGAGGAAGGGGACUGAAGCUGGGGUGGCUGUCCUGGGGAGCAGCCCCAUCUGUAACGGUGCCCUCUGGCCCAGGGCCCACUCUGUAGCUGAUAAAAUUGUUUUAUGGGUCGUUUUUAAUUACAGCCCUCAAGCCAGACAUUUAUGACAAUCAAUCAUCACCUUGCUCCAGAAGGCCCAGGCGUGUGUAGUUUCCCGCCUUCUUCCAUCGUGUCUGUUGCUUGUCCUUGUGGGCAGCCAGAGCCCCCACCUCCCCUACAUCCGGGCACAGGGGCCCUUUUCACUGAGAGGGACUAGUUCAGUCCUGCCCCGAUAACCUGAUGGGGGCCUGUGGCCCACUGCCCUGAGGGGUCCCUGCAGUCCCUCUGGUCCCCACGUCUUUGUGUAGCUCCCCUUGAGUGUGGGCAGGGCUGGGACUUGCAUCUUCACCAACAGACCAUGGCAAGCACUCCGAAGGCUGAGGUAGGAGGAUCUUAAGUUCAAACCUAGACUGGACACUUUAACAACUUAGGGAGAACUUGUCUCAUGAUAAAAAAAAUUUUUUUUAAUUAAAAAAGCUGGGGAUGUAGCUCAGUGCAAAGGCCCUGGGUUCAGGAAGGAAGGAAGGGAAGGAAGGAAGGAAGGCAGGCAGGCAGGCCGGCCGGCCCUUGGCUCAACAGUUCUGAAUUGCCCAGCAAGAUCACAAGGUAAGAUGUGGGUCUCCUCCACCAAGCUUCAGAUGACAUCUCAGCCCUGACAACCUUGGUGCCGCCUCUGAGAGGGCCCAGCCACACCAGGCCCAGACUCCUGUGAGAAACGUGAGGUAAUAAAUGUGUGUUUUAAACUGCUACAUUUGUGUCUGGGGAUGUUGUUAAGCAGCAACAGAGAACUAAUUCAGGGCCUCUUAGGUGAAAAGUCCGGCAUACGGCUGUUAGGGAAUACAAAAACAAAAGUAUAAGGACCCUGUAUUUGAGGAGCUUCCUGGCAGUCAGGGGGAGAAAGGAAAUCAGCAUGGCUUUACUAUCUGACAAAAGGAAAUUAAUGUUUCUUAAGAGGGAAACAGCACCUGAUUCUAGGAAUCUGUCGUGUGAACACUACUGGUGUCAAAUCUAUGAACAAAGCAUAGCGUCACUACAGCCUGUGUCGCCUGCAGUUCACAAUCUCUCCUCAUCCUGUGUCCUUCUGGCAUGGCUUCCUGCCAUGUCCUGCCCUCCACUAUCGACCUCCUCCUCCUGGACUGCUCUUUUCCCUCAUCUGUCUGUUGACUCCUGUAUUUCAAGGGCCAGCAGGGACCUGUCACCUCCUGGAUGAAGGCUUCCUUCAUCCUCAAGCAGAAUUAACAGCUUCCUCCCUGGAUGCAGGUCUCUGUUAUCACAGGGAUUUCCCGGUGGGUCUCAGUAAGCACCUACUAAGUGCCAGGCCGCCUGGGAGGAACCACAAAUCAGCUCAAGGCUUCCCUGGGACCUGCUGUGACAGGGCUGGGGUUUGUGGAGUGAAUGAUGGGUCUCGAGCGGUUAGUGACCUCCUGACAGCCUUUGGGAACAUAGGGUUUAAAAUGCACCCUCUUGAUGAGCCAAGUGU